AGAGUUUGAUCAUGGCUCAGAUUGAACGCUGGCGGCAUGCCUUACACAUGCAAGUCGAACGGUAACGGGCCUUCGGGUGCCGACGAGUGGCGAACGGGUGAGUAAUGCAUCGGAACGUACCUUUCAGUGGGGAUAACGUAGCGAAAGUUACGCUAAUACCGCAUAUUCUGUGAGCAGGAAAGCAGGGGAUCGCAAGACCUUGCGCUGAUUGAGCGGCCGAUGUCAGAUUAGCUAGUUGGUGAGGUAAGGCUCACCAAGGCGACGAUCUGUAGCGGGUCUGAGAGGAUGAUCCGCCACACUGGAACUGAGACACGGUCCAGACUCCUACGGGAGGCAGCAGUGGGGAAUUUUGGACAAUGGGGCAACCCUGAUCCAGCCAUGCCGCGUGAGUGAAGAAGGCCUUCGGGUUGUAAAGCUCUUUCGGCCGGGAAGAAAUCGCAUGGGUUAAUACCCUGUGCGGAUGACGGUACCGGCAUAAGAAGCACCGGCUAACUACGUG
rnacentral:rRNA from 1 species